UACGAAGGGAGCUAGCGUUGUUCGGAAUCACUGGGCGUAAAGCGCACGUAGGCGGAUCGUUUAGUCAGGGGUGAAAUCCCGGAGCUCAACUUCGGAACUGCCUUUGAUACUGGCGAUCUCGAGUCCGAUAGAGGUGGGUGGAAUUCCUAGUGUAGAGGUGAAAUUCGUAGAUAUUAGGAAGAACACCGGUGGCGAAGGCGGCCCACUGGAUCGGUACUAACGCUGAGGUGCGAAAGCGUGGGGAGCAAACAGG
rnacentral:rRNA from 1 species